rnacentral:rRNA from 1 species
AUUGAACGCUGGCGGCAGGCCUAACACAUGCAAGUCGAGCGGAGCGGCGGACGGGCGAGUAAUGCCUAGGAAUCUGCCUGGUAGUGGGGGAUAACUUCCGGAAACGGGCGCUAAUACCGCAUACUAUCAGAUGAGCCUAGGUCGGAUUAGCUAGUUGGUGGGGGAAAGGGCUACCAAGGCGACGAUCCGUAAAUGGUCUGAGAGGAUGAUCAGUCAAACUGGAACAGAGACACGGUCCAGAAUCCUACGGGAGGCAGCAGUGGGGAAUAGGGGACAAUGGGCGAAAGCCUGAUCCAGCCAUGCAGCGUGUGUGAAGAAGGUCUUCGGAUUGUAAAGCAAUUUAAGUUGGGAGGCGUUACCAACAGAAUAAGCACCGGCUAACUUCGUGCCAGCAGCCGCGGUAAUAC